UACGUAGGGACCGAGCGUUGUCCGGAAUCAUUGGGCGUAAAGAGCGUGUAGGCGGCUAUUUAAGUCCUGCGUGAAAUCCUGCGGCUCAACCGCAGACGGUCGUGGGAAACUGGAUGGCUAGAGUGCGGGAGAGGAGAGUGGAAUUCCCGGUGUAGCGGUGAAAUGCGCAGAUAUCGGGAAGAACACCCGUGGCGAAGGCGGCUCUCUGGAACGCAACUGACGCUGAGACGCGAAAGCUAGGGGAGCAAACAGG
rnacentral:rRNA from 1 species